rnacentral:tRNA from 1 species
AUAUCGACAACAAUGAAAUUUAUAGUAAGAGGAAAAUCCGUCGACUUUAGA